ACUUUGAAUGGACGGCCAUGACCAUAGCCGGUUGAGUCACUUCCGUAUUCCUAAAAAUCUUUUUUAACGUAUUAUACUCUAUCUUAAAACAAAAGAAAUAAUGGCAGGUCGUCUGCCAGCAGUUGUCAUUGACAAUGGAACUGGGUAUACUAAAAUGGGAUAUGCUGGUAACACUGAACCACAGUUCAUCAUUCCAUCAGCCAUUGCUGUGAAAGAAAGUGCUUCAAUCGGCAGCCGACAGGCCAAAGGAGUGGAAGAUUUAGACUUUUAUAUUGGGGAUGAAGCUGUCAAUGCAACAGGCUAUUCUGUUAAGUGGCCUAUAAGACAUGGUAUUGUUGAGGACUGGGAUUUAAUGGAGCGAUUCCUAGAACAGGCCAUAUUUAAAUAUCUGCGAUCAGAACCUGAAGAUCAUUACUUCUUAUUGACUGAACCUCCUUUGAACACACCAGAGAACCGUGAAUACACAGCAGAAAUCAUGUUCGAAUCAUUCAACGUCCCUGGUCUGUAUAUCGCUGUUCAGGCUGUGCUUGCCCUGGCUGCGUCGUGGACGUCACGUCAGGUUGGAGAGAGAACCCUCACAGGAACCGUCAUCGACUCCGGCGACGGCGUCACUCACGUCAUUCCUGUUGCUGAGGGCUAUGUAAUAGGAAGCUGCAUCAAGCACAUCCCCAUCGCUGGCCGUGACAUCACCUAUUUCAUUCAACAACUGCUGAGAGAGAGGGAGGUGGGGAUUCCCCCUGAACAGUCGUUAGAAACCGCCAAAGCCAUCAAGGAAAAGUAUUCUUAUGUAUGUCCUGACGUUGCGAAAGAAUUUGCUAAGUACGACCAAGACCCUAGCAAAAUUAAGAAUGAGCGAAGAACUAAGUCAGGGAAGAAUCAAGCCAAAACCAAUCGAUGUCCAGGUGAUCACUCAUCAUAUGCAAAGAUACGCCGUGUGGUUUGGAGGCAGUAUGCUGGCAUCUACUCCUGAAUUUUAUCAAGUGUGUCACACGAAGGCGGACUACGAUGAGCAUGGACCUAGCAUUUGUCGUCACAACCCCGUGUUCGGUACAAUGUCCUAGUGCAUGUGAACCAGCUCAGAAUGACAUUGAGAGACAAGGGGGACAGGGAAAAGAUAUUAGAAUAACAGCUCAUUGGCUUCCAAAUAGAACAAUAGACACCAAUUUGGAUUGGCUAAAAAAAAAGAGUAUAUAAAUUAGACAUGUAAAAAUGAUAGAAAAUAUAUUAUCUGGUAAUUUUUUUUUUAUUUGAAUAAAAAAAAAUUAUUAAACAACUUGAAAUACUGGGAUCGGUAUGUCUUUGUAGGGGUAUCAAACAAUGCAGUGUGUUCUGAUGUGUAAAAGUCAAAUUUUGAUUUGAGGAUAUUAAGAACAUGCUGUUUUAUGAUAUUAAUGCAAUUUAUUUGAACAAAUGAACAAAAAAUAUAUCAAUGCGAGUCACAAUUAAAAGAUUUAAAAGACUGAAUUGUCAAAAGAUUCAUAUGUACAUGUAGGGUGCACAUAACAUUUUGUAUAUCUCUUAUUUUUUUCAAUUUCAUUAAAGAUUGAAAUUUUAUUAUUAUGUACAUGAUAUGUAUUUAAAAAAAAUAAAAGUUUAUA
rnacentral:misc_RNA from 1 species